CCUACGGGUGGCAGCAGUGGGGAAUAUUGCACAAUGGGGGAAACCCUGAUGCAGCAACGCCGCGUGAGUGAAGAAGUAUUUCGGUAUGUAAAGCUCUAUCAGCAGGGAAGAUAAUGACGGUACCUGACUAAGAAGCUCCGGCUAAAUACGUGCCAGCAGCCGCGGUAAUACGUAUGGAGCAAGCGUUAUCCGGAUUUACUGGGUGUAAAGGGUGCGUAGGUGGCAGUGCAAGUCAGAUGUGAAAGGCCGGGGCUCAACCCCGGGACUGCUUUGGAAACUGUUAAGCUGGAGUGCUGGAGAGGUAAGCGGAAUUCCUAGUGUAGCGGUGAAAUGCGUAGAUAUUAGGAGGAACACCAGUGGCGAAGGCGGCUUACUGGACGGUAACUGACGUUGAGGCUCGAAAGCGUGGGGAGCAAACAGGAUU
rnacentral:rRNA from 1 species